rnacentral:rRNA from 1 species
UACGAAGGGGGCGAGCGUUGUUCGGAUUUACUGGGCGUAAAGGGCGCGUAGGCGGCCCUCUUUGUCGCGUGUGAAAGCCCCGGGCUCAACCUGGGAAUUGCGCGCGAAACGGGGGGGCUUGAGUUCGGGAGAGGAGCGUGGAAUUCCCAGUGUAGAGGUGAAAUUCGUAGAUAUUGGGAAGAACACCGGUGGCGAAGGCGGCGCUCUGGACCGAGACUGACGCUGAGGCGCGAAAGCCAGGGGAGCAAACGGG